CAACAAGAUCACAUGGGAUGCAGAGGAACAGAGAAUACUGCUCGGAGGAUAAAAACGAGCCAACUGAAGAAGACCUGGUGUUGGCUACACCAGACAAAGGUCUACACAACCGUUUCAAUGGGGCUCGAAAGCUAAUGAAGGGUGUGGAGUGUAUCAAAAACCGCCAUAUGAACAAUACUGAAGUAGCAACCAAAAAACCUAGAAAGGACAACAAAGAGAAAUCCUGGAAGUGAAACAAAAAGAGAAUGAAAGACUGGCCAGAAGGCUUCAAACGCGGAACUGAACCGGCAGAAGACUCUCUGAGAUCAAAACUGGGACUAUGCAAAUGAGUGAAUCUAAAGAAAAGAAAGAAGAAAAGAUGGAAUAAUGGGGAAUAUAGUAUUGGGGACUUGGUGAAAACUCCCCAAAUUUGAUGAAAGAAAGAAACCAUCUAAGAAGCUGAGUUUAAUCCAUGUAGGCAGAACUAUGUCCAAAUGAAAGACGCAUGUUAUAACCAAGCUAUUGGAAGACAAAGAUAAGAUGACUUAAAAUCAGUAAGAGAGAAAUUAAGACAGAUAAGAGGGGCCCACCUCUCCUUUGUGGCACUGGAAUAGGAGUGAAGUACUAUUAAGGCACUAUUGAAUUCUGUUAAAGUUAAUCGUAAGACUUUAUCACAAGCAUUCCUUUGAAUGUUGUAAAGGAUCACACAGAAACACAGAGCCGAUCAAGGAUUGCCCACAGAGGGGAGAGGAGCGCUGUGGGAAGAUGGGGUAAUGGCAGGCCACUGUCAAUGAAUACAAGGUUUCUUCUGGGGAGUUUAAAACCCCAGGAGUUUACAACCUAAAGAGAAAAGCAUGACAAGAGUGACCAGUGAUGGGACGAGAGACCAGUGACCAGUGACGAGAGCUGCCGCAGCUAAGCACCAUGAGGCUGGGACCAUGGACAGAGUGUGACCCAGACCCUCACCCAGCAGAACUGGUAUCCAGUGUUGUUAUCUGCAAGAACUCCUCUGAGGAUGAGACACGAGAGCAGAGGACUCAAACAGGAGCAUCACGGACCACUGGAAAUAGUGUGUAGCAAGAGAGUGAAGGGCCAGGCUUCAGCACGGAGGACAGAAAUCGAGGUCCAUAGGUGACAGGAACCAGCUGGCUAGUGGAGUCUACGUUUGCUCUGGUGGGGUGGGUGGGCAGGCAGGCUGGUAGGCUGUGGGUUAGAGGGUGGCCCCUAACACCAACGAUUCAUUCUCAGACAUACUGAGCACUGUGCCAAUAAAUAUGACCUGUCCAUCUGUUGGUCUGCUUUAGUCAAAUCCCAAGUUUUCUCCCAACCAGCUUGAUCCUGGG
rnacentral:lncRNA from 1 species